rnacentral:lncRNA from 1 species
GGCUGCCCCAGCUGGCAGUGGCAAUCCUCUCCGGUCCCCUUCCGGGCUGUGGGAGCUUUGUUCUUUUGCUCUUUGCAAUAAAUCUUGCUGCUGCUCGCUCUUUGGGUCCACAUUGCCUUUGUGAGCUGUAACACUCACGGCGAAGGUCUGCAGCUUCACUCCUAAAGCCAGAGAGACCACAAACCCACCGGGAGGAACGAACAACUCCAGACGCGCGGCCUUAAGAGCUGUAACACUCACCGCGAAAGUCUGCAGCUUCACUCCUAAAGCCAGCGAGACCACGAACCCACCAGGAGGAACGAACAAUUCCAGAUGCGCCGCCUUAGGAGCUGUAACACUCACCGCGAAGAUCUGCAGCUUCACUCCUGAGCCGGCGAGACCACGAACCCCACCAGAAGGAAGAAACUCCGGACACGCCGCCUUUAAGAACUAUAACACUCACGGCGAGGGUCCACGGCUUCAUUCUUGAAGUCAGUGAAACCAAGAACCCACCAAUUCCGGACACAGCAGGAUCCCACCCACAGAACCGCCAGGUGCACAGCUGCAUAUCCUCAGGGGAAAACUCCCCUCCCCUGCCACCUUACUGAUAGGCUUCACUUCCCAGAGAACUUUCCCAAUCCUGUGCAAUGCCUGAGUGGUACAUUGUAUUCUAUGAGAAUGGCGCCCCCGCCUCCAGAGUUGUGCAACAAGACUUCCAUGAAUCAAAGCCCAUCGCUGGCUGCCUCCUCUAGCCCUGCAUAGCCCAGGUACAUCUGAAAGGAGUGAGAAGUGUUUUGAGGGCUCUCCCUGUCUCUUCCUGCACCUCUCUCUUGUGAUCCCAGAAGCUACAACCUCAGCCCAGAUUAGCAGGCUGAGGGGUCAGGAGGCUGUCACUGGAGCUGUUGAGCUCAUGAACACGCCGAAGUUGCUGCGCUCCAGAAAUGUGGAAGUUGGAAUGAAGAGCCACCACUGCUGCCACCAACAUGAAGCUUGACCAAGCAAGCCAAGAAAAGAUGGCCAAGAGCCUCUGCCUUCCUUCUGCCUUCUGCAACGCAAUGGUGAGCUGCACAUCCACAACUUGAAGGGAGUCUGGGAAAUGCAGAGUUAAACUUUCUAGCCUCUCUAAGCUUUCAACUGUUACAGAAAGGCAACCCAGGAGGAGACUGGAAUAAAUGCUGAGUGCCAAUUUCCAACACAAGUAGUCAUUAUAAUUGGGGACAAUGAACAGGCGGGCUGCUGCCAGAAUUUACCGAA